rnacentral:rRNA from 1 species
CCCGCACGUACAGAUGGACAAGAAUAGGCUUCGGCUUAGCGUCUUAGCAGGCGAAUCGUCCACGGCGCAGGAAGCGCGUCGUGGUAUUUCGCGUAUUGUAAUUUCAACACGAGCGGGGUCAAAUCCUUUGCAGACGACUUAGCUGUGCGAAACGGUCCUGUAAGCAGUAGAGUAGCCUUGUUGUUACGAUCUGCUGAGGGUAAGCCGUCCUUCGCCUCGAUUUCCCCAAUGCGAGCAGCCCGCCGAGAGCGGGAGGCGUGUAGGGGUUCGGCUGGUUUUAACUUGGGCGGUUUUCGAGGGCUCCGGCUUUGGAGCUCUCGUUCGAUCGUCCGUCGGGGAGGUGGUGUAGGGUAGCCAGGAUCGAGCCGGCAGAGUUGGCCGGGGGGAAAGCUCGACGACGAAGGUGUCCGGACGGCUUGGACGGGCGCUCGUUCGUCGCGGGAUGGCUACAGGGUAGGCAGAAUCGGUGAGCAGGAAGGCGCGGCCGCCACGCAGAUUAUUUUUGCGGAAUGGCCCCGGAGGCCGGCGUGGCGUGGGACGGGCUGCGUGGUGGUCGGAGGGGAUAUGAGCAGGCCCGGCCAGGGUCCUGGUUCUGGUACAGGGUAGGUAAAAACGAAAUGGUUGUUAAGCGGCGCGGCGUCGCUGCUUGUUUUUCCCGGGAGGAGCAGGGCCUCUUCUGGGGGCGGCGUGUCCUCUGGGGGAGCGCCCUGGGGA